CACUAGCACAGGGCAUGUUGGUACAUCAGGUAAACGUAAACUGUUGCUCGAAGCAUUCGGUGCAAGUAUAUAAGUAGGAAUAUAAAAGUCUCUAUGGAUGUUAUUGUGCUCGGACUCAGAAUCUGCCAUUAACUCCAGCUGCAGCUGAGAAAGAAAAGUAUAUGAAUUAUGCUACGUAUGCAGAGCGAUAUUCGGAAGAAUCAG
rnacentral:misc_RNA from 1 species